CAAGGCAGGUGGUGGAACCAUUGAGCUAAAUCCCCAGCCCUACUCCUUUUCACUUUUAUUCAUGAUUUAUGAACAAAUUUUCAGAACACUGAGAUACAUAUUUUCAGCAUAUUUUCCUUUUUGUAAAGAUUUCCUAUUAUUUGUUGUGGCCAAUUUCCUUGAUUCAUUCGGCCUUCAUAUGAUUAGCAUGGCUGGCUUCUGCCUAAUUUUUGAGUGUAUAGUCACAUAUGAUAGUGAAGAAUUAUGUAACUAGCUACAUUUAUUCCAUGAAUGAAGCAUUGCUUUGCUGUGUGUUGUUAUAAACGAAGAAACUAAAACCAGAAUCAAGUCUUAGAUAUCAUUUCUUAGUUGUGUAAAUUUGAACUAAUUAUUUAAUUUUCCUGCACUCAUUUCUUCAUCUUUGAAAUAGGUUUGAUAACGUUAUCUCUUUCAGAGGUCGAUAGGAUCAUAUUAUUGUGACUGAUUCUCAAAGAGAGCUGGUCACGCAAUCUUGUUCUAAGACCAAAGGACAGACUGGCCUCCCUUUCUCUCCACCCAUUCCUUACUCUCAAUCAUGCCUCAGUUGUGCAAUCAGCUUUAAAAAUUCUUCCCUGAAUCAACAAGUGUCUUCUCAAAACUGGGAUAACAAGAUACACUGGUACCUCUGUCUGGGAGAGCUGGGAGAGUUUUUGUUUUUUUCAUUAUUUGAUUAUUUCAAAAGUCUGUUCUUCAAGCUUUGUUUGCAGUCAUUUACUGUUUGUUCUCAAAUUACCCGGUCAGAGCUGAAUCACAGUAUGUACAUUACUUGAAAACAGUUUACUUACACAUAUUGUACUCAGGUUUUUGGAAAGAGAAUUGGUUUUGUUCAUCUCUGGAAAUCUUAGAGGAGAAUAUGACACAGUUUGUGGAAUAAGAAAUAAAUGUUUUUCUUCUUUUCAACAAACACUGUAGGUAUAAGUACUGUUUUUUCUUAAAGAUAUAUUUUUUAAAGGGAUAUAUUUUCUUACGUACAUUUUUAAACAAGAGACAAGUUUCUGCCGUCAAUGCUGUCCUCUGCUUUACCAGCAUAAGUUUUCUAGCUCAGCCAGCUAGGGGAAGCAGAAGAGAAUUCUCCAGCUGUGCCAGAUUGACAGUAAGGGUGGUGGUGGUAUCCUACGGCCUGGAGUGUUCUGUACUAAACUGUUACUUUGUGUCAAAAGACAAAGACUUUACUACAACAAAUAAAGGUCAAUUUUUGUAACUUCAAAAAAAAAAAAAAAGAAAGAAUAAAGCGGAUUCAUGUCUGAGUCUUCCGAUCAUUUUAUUUGAUCUAAUUAAGGAUUAAUAUGUAUUUCUAUCUCAUAAAUUUUGUCAAAUUUAGAUCUUGAAUUCUAAAGGUGUGUGAAUUUCAUUUUUACUUACUUUUGUUGAGUUUCUAGGACUUUACCAUCGUGUAGAUUUACUUGCACUAACUGUGGCCUAUGAAGAAGUCCGUCCAAGUUCAGAUGAAAAUGUCACCGGACGGAGAUGUGAUGGAGACAAAAUUCAACAAUGUUUCUGUCCACGUAUAUGUGUCAAAGAGGAAAUCAGAUACACCAAGAAGGGUUGUGUGUUAUCCAUGGUGGUGGCUGGUGUUCUGGAAGUGGUGCUAGGUGGAUUCUUUGAGAGAUGUCUAUCACUGGAGUAGAUUGCAAAUGUUUUACUAAGGCUUUAUAUUGUGCUUUUCAGCAAAGGUAAUGCUGUCUUUUUGUCCUGCCUUGCUUUGACUUCUGUCAAGUUUUAAUGUUCCUCAAAGCUUCAAAUCAUCUUUUCCUACCCAUAUGAUACUUUUAAUCAUUUAACCAGAUAAAAGGAAGUAGAAAAUCUUCCAGUUUGUUGAAUUGUAUACCAAGGCAUUUCUGUAAUAUUCCGUUCAAUAUCCUAGAACCAUGAUGUUCCUUCAUUCAUUCAUUCAUUCACAUAUUUACUCUGCGUCCAGAACUCUUCCAGGCACCUUAAGUGAUCUCAGAGCAGACAAGAUUCUUCUUGGAGUUUAAAUUCUAAUGGAGGCCAUCAUUAGUCCAUUGAUACAUAAGUGAAUAAUACAGUGUUCCUUAAGGAAACAAGUGGAGGAAAUAAUAGAUCAGAGUAGUCAAGAUUAUUUGUAAAGGAGUAAAUCAGAAGUUGACACAUUGGAAAAAAGUCUCAGUACCAGUCAUGUUACAGAGAAAAUCACGGGAGUCCCAAUAUACUCAAUAUUCACUAAUUUGCAGGCAGUUAAUAGAAUGUAAAUCAACUGAAGGGAUUAAGAUUGAGCUGGCUCUAUAUUAUGAACUCUGGACUCCAAAGGAAAAAAAAAAGUUAACUCAAAGAAGAAAUGUUAAAGGCUCUGUGUUAAUCAACAUGUGCCAAAGGAUAUGAAAAAUUAGAACAAAAGUGUUAGGGGAGCAAAGCGGGUCUCUGAGAUGAAAUGAUUGUUCUGUUUCUGACAGAAUGACUGGGAGGUGAAGACAGAUGUUUGGGAAACAUAGACUUGUGUCUUGGGUAGAAGAACAAGCCACUAGGAAAGCAUUAAAAAGUGAUCAGAAAUGUCAAAAAGUAAAAAGGAAGAAAAAAAUAAGGUGAAAGCAUCAUAAAAGAGUGAGUAAUGAGACGAUGCCAAGUAAAUAGAAAAGAAAUAUAUGUAUGCUGAAAGUUAAAACUUUUAUGUUAAUAUUGCUUAAUGGAUUAAUAUUGUUAGAUGGGUAUUCACAUAGAAACUCAUUGUAAAUUUCAAAAAGUAAGAGAUAAAUCAUGAUUACUGACCUUUAUGGAACUUGUAGAAGAAUAAGUAAGAGAACCAUAGAUUAAAAGAAGAAUUAAGUAAGAGCAUUUUACUUGGUUUCUGUUUUUGUGGGAGAGAUAAUGAACAUGGUGGAAUUCUCUGUGAUGUUGACUCAGGAGGAUCACACAUUGGAACCCAGCCUGGGCAACUUAGCGAUUUUGUGAGACCCUGUAUUUAAAAAAAUAAUAAAAGAGCUGAUAGUAUAAGUCAGUUUGAAACCCCUAAAUUCAUUCCUCAGUAGUAAAAUAUAAUAACAAUAAUUGGUAGAAUAGGUAAAAAGAGAAUUAUAAACAGAAGUAGAUUAUAAAAGAAGGAAAUGAAGGGAAGAAUAUUUAGUUCAUUGAUAAAAUAAUUGGACUGGACUGAGAGGGAGAGACGGACAAAAGGAGACUCAAGUCUUUUUCACAGACAGGGAUAGAACAGACAUACCAGGCCUUAGUAAGUUGCACUUUUAGGACAGUGGGACAGGUGCAAGGAGAAAAUUUGAGAAUUUCAGCUUCUCAAGGGCUCACAACUCUAUUCCACUUAUAUUAAGGUUCUAUACAGGUACUGGUCAUCUGUCCUUUUGUUAUCAAAAAUCUGUUUAUACCUCCUUGGCUCCAUUCCAUCCACAUAUUCAAGUCAGUAACUUUCUGUCUUUAUUUGUAUAUGCAUGCAAAAGAACCAAGUCAAUUUUCUUUCAGCAAGGAAACUGGGAUCUGUUUUCCAGAUUAUGAAGCUGGUGAAAAAAUUACUGAUGAAAUGUGUAGAACAAAAAUUGUAAAGAACAAUUAGAAAUUUCAGUGGGAAAGUCCAAUUCCACUGUGUUGUAGAUAUGUAUUUUCUUAAGCUUUAUGUAAUUAUGACCUGAGAUCAAGAUGGACAGCAAAGAAACGUGAUGCUAUUUUAUCAAGCAAAUAGCAGCUGCAUUGUUUUAUUUGAAGGUUUCACCGACCAAGAUUCUCUAAGCACUUAGCCGGCUGAUGCAUGAUGAUACCAAAAAUAAAUGUUCCUCAAUGAUAUUGAAGGAAUUAAAAAAAACUAUCUCUAUCCUGAUUAUUAUGCAGGAAAAACAUCUGUUUGGGGUUGUGUGAGGGUGAGUGGUUGGAGUCCGUACCCUUUUACUGCUGGACCCACAUGUAUUUGUUCUUUGGGCAGGUAGGAAAAAGUGAAAAUAAAGACUUUUUCUCCAUAAGCUUA